rnacentral:rRNA from 1 species
CUCAGAUUGAACGCUGGCGGCAGGCCUAACACAUGCAAGUCGAGCGGAUGAAAGGAGCUUGCUCCUGGAUUCAGCGGCGGACGGGUGAGUAAUGCCUAGGAAUCUGCCUGGUAGUGGGGGACAACGUUUCGAAAGGARCGCUAAUACCGCAUACGUCCUACGGGAGAAAGCAGGGGACCUUCGGGCCUUGCGCUAUCAGAUGAGCCUAGGUCGGAUUAGCUAGUUGGUGAGGUAAUGGCUCACCAAGGCGACGAUCCGUAACUGGUCUGAGAGGAUGAUCAGUCACACUGGAACUGAGACACGGUCCAGACUCCUACGGGAGGCAGCAGUGGGGAAUAUUGGACAAUGGGCGAAAGCCUGAUCCAGCCAUGCCGCGUGUGUGAAGAAGGUCUUCGGAUUGUAAAGCACUUUAAGUUGGGAGGAAGGGUUGUAGAUUAAUACUCUGCAAUUUUGACGUUACCGACAGAAUAAGCACCGGCUAACUCUGUGCCAGCAGCCGCGGUAAUACAGAGGGUGCAAGCGUUAAUCGGAAUUACUGGGCGUAAAGCGCGCGUAGGUGGUUUGUUAAGUUGGAUGUGAAAUCCCCGGGCUCAACCUGGGAACUGCAUCCAAAACUGGCAAGCUAGAGUAUGGUAGAGGGUGGUGGAAUUUCCUGUGUAGCGGUGAAAUGCGUAGAUAUAGGAAGGAACACCAGUGGCGAAGGCGACCACCUGGACUGAUACUGA